rnacentral:rRNA from 1 species
AGGACGAACGCUGGCGGCGUGCUUAACACAUGCAAGUCGAGCGGAAAGGCCCUUCGGGGUACUCGAGCGGCGAACGGGUGAGUAACACGUGAGUAAUCUGCCCCUAGCUCUGGGAUAGCUCCGGGAAACCGGGAUUAAUACCAGAUACGACCACUUUAGACAUCUGCUGUGGUGGAAAGAAUUUCGGCUAGGGAUGAGCUCGCGGCCUAUCAGCUAGUUGGUGAGGUAACGGCCCACCAAAGGCGACGACGGGUA